AGAGUUUGAUCAUGGCUCAGGAUGAACGCUGGCGGCGUGCCUAACACAUGCAAGUCGAGCGAAAAGGUUAAGAAGGAUCCUUCGGGUGACUAAUUAACUGGACAGCGGCGGACGGGUGAGUAACGCGUGGGUAACCUGCCCUAUGGAGGGGGAUAACGUUUUGAAAAGAACGCUAAUACCGCAUAAGCGCACAGAUACGCAUGUAUCAGUGUGAAAAACUCCGGUGCCAUAGGAUGGACCCGCGUAAGAUUAGCUAGUUGGUAAGGUAAUGGCUUACCAAGGCGACGAUCUUUAGCCGACCUGAGAGGGUGAUCGGCCACAUUGGGACUGAGACACGGCCCAAACUCCUACGGGAGGCAGCAGUGGGGGAUAUUGCACAAUGGGCGAAAGCCUGAUGCAGCAACGCCGCGUGAAGGAAGAAGGUCUUCGGAUCGUAAACUUCUAUCAGCAGGGAAGAAAA
rnacentral:rRNA from 1 species